AAACCAUGAUGGGGGCAUCAUCUAAGGAGAUCUUUGUAUCUUUCAUAAGCUUCAAAUAAUGUCUCCAACUUUCCUUGCUUAAAUGACGAAAUCUCUUCCCUUAGUUU